UUUGACCUACGGGAGGCAGCAGUGGGGAAUAUUGCACAAUGGGGGAAACCCUGAUGCAGCGACGCCGCGUGAGAGAAGAAGUAUUUCGGUAUGUAAAGCUCUAUCAGCAGGGAAGAAAAAUGACGGUACCUGAGUAAGAAGCACCGGCUAAAUACGUGCCAGCAGCCGCGGUAAUACGUAUGGUGCAAGCGUUAUCCGGAUUUACUGGGUGUAAAGGGAGCGCAGGCGGUGCGGCAAGUCUGAUGUGAAAGCCCGGGGCUCAACCCCGGGACGGCAUUGGAAACGACCGAACUAGAGUGGCGGAG
rnacentral:rRNA from 1 species